rnacentral:rRNA from 1 species
UACGAAGGGGGCAAGAGUUGUUCGGAAUUACUGGGCGUAAAGGGCGCGUAGGCGGCUUAUCAAGUCAGGCGUGAAAUUCCCGGGCUCAACCUGGGGGCUGCGCUUGAUACUGAUGAGCUUGAAUGCGGGAGAGGAUAGUGGAAUUCCCAGUGUAGAGGUGAAAUUCGUAGAUAUUGGGAAGAACACCGGUGGCGAAGGCGGCUAUCUGGCCCGUAAUUGACGCUGAGGCGCGAAAGCGUGGGGAGCAAACAGG